CGGUAGAAAGUCCCGCCAUCUUUCCCCCAGGUUUCUUGCCCCCACCCUCCCCUCAGGCUUCCUGCUGCCCUGAGUAAAGCCCGCCAAGCCUGCUCUGUUCUGCCCAGCAAUGACAAGCAGCCAACCAUUCCAGCAGUAAAGCCCGCCAAGACUCAGCCUGUCCUGAACCGACACAUAACCCUCUGAGCCACCUCAGCAGCCUGCCCAGAGACGAACAGCCUAUCCUAAGCUCCUACGACACUCCGCCAGCCCUGUGUCCACGCCCCGUCCACCCCCCUAUAAAACCCUCCUACCCCAGCUGCGCAGUCGCAGCCAGCCCCGAUCUCCUUCCUUUCCUGGCCUGCCCGCUGGUCCCAAUAAACCUGAACUCGGCUUCCAACUCUCGCUCGAGCUGUUAUUUGGGGUCGGGUACCGGGCAGGGGUCUAAAAGGGGGUCGCACAUUUGGUGCCGAAAACCCGGGACGGAGGGUCGCUAGCCCCCCCUAGCGACCCCCUCCCUCCAGCGACCUCCCCAGCCCUCCUCCAAUUCGGCCUCAGCACUCCGGACCAGUUCUUGCAGCGCCGUUUCCAGGAGCUCACCCGGAUCACCAUCAACCAGAUGCUGCUACAACCAGUCCUCAGCCAUCCAGAUUGUGCAUAUACCCCCCUACCAACCUCCCAGACUCCGUAAAAAACCCCACUCCGCCCCUGUCCAGCAGGAAGUAGCCAGAUCGAUUUCCACCGCCCUUUUUUUCCUUUUUAAGGAGUCGGGAAUGUUCGGUAGAAAGUCCCGCCAUCUUUCCCCCAGGUUUCUUGCCCCCACCCUCCCCUCAGGCUUCCUGCUGCCCUGAGUAAAGCCCGCCAAGCCUGCUCUGUUCUGCCCAGCAACAACAAGCAGCCAACCAUUCCAGCAGUAAAGCCCGCCAAGCCUCAGCCUGUCCUGAACCGACACAUAACCCUCUGAGCCACCUCAGCAGCCUGCCCAGAGACGGACAGCCUAUCCUAAGCUCCGACACUCCGCCAGCCCUGUGUCCACGCCCCGUCCACCCCCCUAUAAAACCCUCCUACCCCAGCAGCGCAGUCGCAGCCAGCCCCGAUCUCCUUCCUUUCCUGGCCUGCCCGCUGGUCCCAAUAAACCUGAACUCGGCUUCCAA